rnacentral:lncRNA from 1 species
CUGACCCCCCUACUAGUAAAACAUAAAUUCAAAUCAUAAAUAAAAUAAUAACCCUUCCAUCCUUGAAAAAAUCAGCUUACUUAUUAAUUAUUAUUGUAACAGUAUAUAUCUAUUAUUAAAGUUAUGGUCGUACGUCCUACCAAUUCUACCAAAUGAUGGAAAUGUUAUUAUUUUGGAAGAACUCAUUGCUGUCCUUCCUCCAGUCUAAAAGGAGGACCUUCUAUAUUAUACCAAAUCUAUAUAUCAUAAUAAUGUAUACAUUUUACUCUCACUUGGUUAAAUGAACUAUGUGCUGUCUGAAUCCUUCACGCAAAGACAUGUUCCAUAUUUUAUUUAUAAGUCUCCUGGUUAGCAAGUUGUAAUUUGAUACAUGUAAUCUCAUAAAAUACGUUUUUCUUUUUAAUAAAAUAUGUUUCAGUUC